CCUACGGGUGGCAGCAGUAGGGAAUUUUUCACAAUGGGCGAAAGCCUGAUGGAGCAACGCCGCGUGCAGGAUGCAGGCCUUCGGGUUGUAAACUGCUUUUAUAAGCGAGAAAUAUGAUGGUAACUUAUGAAUAAGGAUCGGCUAACUACGUGCCAGCAGCCGCGGUCAUACGUAGGAUCCGAGCAUUAUCCGGAGUGACUGGGUGUAAAGAGUUGCGUAGGUGGCAUAAUAAGUAGCUAGUGAAAUCUGGUGGCUCAACCAUUCAGACUAUUAGCUAAACUGUUAAGCUCGAGACCGUUAGAGGUAACUGGAAUUUCUAGUGUAGGAGUGAAAUCCGUAGAGAUUAGAAGGAACACCAAUAGCGUAGGCAGGUUGCUGGGACGGUUCUGACACUAAGGCACGAAAGCGUAGGGAGCAAACGGGAUUAGAUACCCCGGUAGUC
rnacentral:rRNA from 1 species